CCCAGGCAGCUCCAACACUGUUAAGUCAUUUGGAACAAUGUGGGUGGGCUGUGAACACAGCCAAAGUGCAAGGAACUGGGCUGUCAGUCAAAUUCCUGGGAGUGGUCUGGUCAGUGUUCCGGCUGCAGGCACUGCAUCAGAGUCAACUGGGUACAUACAUACGUUGGCGUGAUCAUCUACUGAAUAUGCACUGAACUUCACAUCAGUAUGACUACAAGAUUCCCAUGGAAAAUCACACCAGUGGUGACUACUAACUGGACAUAUGUGGCUAAUAGUUAAAAGAACAGAACUACAAGCCUUAAGUCAUAUUGAACAGACAAUAGGUUAUGUAAAUGUAAGGGUCAUUUAUCCUCCCUAAGAGAACAUCAUGGGAAAUUCUGAACAUGUAGAUUGUAUGGCAAGGGACCCUGAAGGGGUGGAUUGUUGGGAAAAUGGAAUAAUUUAAUCAAGCCCCCCUUGCCUUAGGUCUGGUUGGGGGUGGUGCAGUGCAUUCUUUGUAAAUGAGUUGUAUGUGGGUGGAGUUAGUGUGCCUGCACAUGGUGCCACCAGUUGGCUGGCAUCUACUGCCCCAGGCAUCCACUCCAUGUAGCCAUGCUCUCCAACCUACAGCUUCCAAGGACCUGUUUGCUGGUUACAUAGCUCAUAGAUGUGCGUGUGAGGGGUCUGGUGACCCGGCCUGGCAUGUGAAGAGUUUGUGACCCAGUCUGGACAACGGGCUUGAGGGGCCUGUGAGCUCGACAGUUGGCCCAGUCAGCAGGAUUAUGGGCAAGUAAAAGAGCUUGACAAUUGGUGUCACAAACAGGAUUACAGGCAGGUAAAAUAGCAUAACACUAGAGUAACAGCAUUUGCAAAUGAGUACUCAGGAUAAAAAUGAUUAGACUGUGAGUCUGAUCAGAAAAUAGUCAUCCUUUUCCUCUUCGCCACGAGAGGGUGCAUCCCACAUUAGAUUUGGGAGCUUUCCAAAGUCUGGGAUCUGGUCUAUCUUUAAUAUCUGACUGUCAGUGCUCCAUAAAUGUAGCUGAAUUAAUUAGUAAAUAUAUAAUAAUGCAUUAGAAAAUGGAGCCUUGGUCCAGUUGCACUUCACUCUUCACAGGAGCUCCAACUGAGAGCAAAGUAACCUCUUUUGACACGAUUUCAUCAUUACUACAUUUCAGUCUACUAGGUAGUGAAUUCAAAAGCCAAGACCAAAUCUAGAAAAAUGGGUUUCUAUGAUUUUUCCCAUUUUCCAACCUGAAAGUGUGUGGCUAUAUACAUGUAAUGACUGCUGAAGUAGCCCAACUAGAAAUUCUGCACUUUAUACUACCUUGAUAGUUACAAAAUAAUAGAUUUCAAGUCCUCUGUGGUGGCAAGGGUGACUUAAACAGUGUUGAAUAUUCUGGAAAUGAAGAAGUGGCAGAAGGCUGCUUUCUUAACUUUUCAGUGGAUUUAAUUCCUUUUUCUUUUAUACUUUGCUCAAGAAGUUCAGAGCUAACUGAAACAUCAACUUCCAGACAUACUUGAUUUUUAUUAAAUCUAAAUGGUUCAUCCCAAGAAGAUAUUGUAUGUGAGUGCAGUGUUUUUUGAAACUUUAUAGUUGUCUAUGCAAUCAUAACUCUUUGAGGUCA